GCACAGGUGAUGGAAUGCAUGAAGACUGUGUUGCUGCCUGGCCAUCUGCACUCUACGGCAGACUAACGUAUUUUCAUCUCGUAAACUGUUUCUGCUGACCCUGUCCACAAACAAUGCAUCUGCUGAGAACUACUAGUAAUGAAUCAUAUUUUUCCAGACAUGGCUGAAAAAUGCUGAAAGGGCCAGCAAUGGAAUCAAGAAUGCUGGAAAUGACCAGAGACCCUAUUAUUCAACUGACAGACAACAGCAGGAAAGAUGUUCAGAACAUUGUGCAAGUACAACUGCUUUCUCCCUGAGCUAUUUAAGAAAAAAAAAAACCAACACAUGAAAAAACAGAGUAUCAGUAUUUACUUGUGCUCAUGAAGAGGUGCUCAUGCUUCAUCCUUUCCAGCACCAUGAUCUUUUUCACCCAGUCCCGCUGAGGUCCAGGAAAUGCAGCUGGUCAAUAACUUCCUUUGAAUAAUAUGAAAAUGUGCUGGAACAGUGUGUAUGAGUGGUCUUGAAUGGCUAUCAGCUGGAAACAAGCAGACAAAAAACUCUGGGUUUGCCCUCGAUCUCCCCCUUCAGCACCUUCCAUGAUCUAAAAGAGUGCAUGUGAAUCUGGACUGCAGGUCAACAUCAGGUGGAGAUUUCUGUUUUAGUGGAGAAACUCGUCAGUGUAAGGGGCAGCAAACUAAUCUAGGCAGGAAGAAAAAAACAGAUGAUUCUAAGGACAAGAUGUAGCUUCUUGGGUUCUGAGAGGAUGCUGCAGACUGGUGGGUGAACUGAGGCUACACUAGGAAUUGGGCAAUCUGUCCCAGGGACCUCAUCAAAGUGUAUGUAUGGACAAUCUCAGAGACUCCAGCAAAGAAGAGAAAUGCCAGCUGUGCUUGAGGGGCAGACUUCUCUGGAUG